UGGCGGACGGGGGAGUAAUGUCUGGGAAACUGCCUGAUGGAGGGGGAUAACUACUGGAAACGGUAGCUAAUACCGCAUAACGUCGCAAGACCAAAGAGGGGACCUUCGGGCCUCUUGCCAUCGGAUGUGCCCAGAUGGGAUUAGCUAGUAGGUGGGGUAACGGCUCACCUAGGCGACGAUCCCUAGCUGGUCUGAGAGAAUGACCAGCCACACUGGAACUGAGACACGGUCCAG
rnacentral:rRNA from 1 species